rnacentral:tRNA from 1 species
CCGCCCGUAGCUCAGCUGGUAGAGCAGCUCGCUUUUAACGAGAAGGUCGCAGGAUCAUCCCCUGCCGGGCGGA